rnacentral:rRNA from 1 species
UGUGAAACUGCGAAUGGCUCAUUAUAUCAGUCAUAGUUUAUUUGAAAGUCCCUUACUACAUGGAUAACCGUAGUAAUUCUAGAGCUAAUACAUGCAUAAAAGCCAAACUGCCUCGGCGGACUGGUUGCAUUGAUUAGACCGAAACCAAUGCGUCUUC